rnacentral:rRNA from 1 species
ACGUAGGCAGCAAGCGUUGUUCGGAAUUACUGGGCGUAAAGAGUGUGUAGGCGGUGCUCCAAGUCUGGUGUGAAAUCUCCCGGCUCAACUGGGAGGGUGCGCUAGAAACUGGAAUGCUAGAGGAUGGGAGAGGUAAGCGGAAUUCCUGGUGUAGCGGUGAAAUGCGUAGAUAUCAGGAGGAACACCUGUGGUGUAGACAGCUUACUGGACCAUUUCUGACGCUGAGACACGAAAGCGUGGGUAGCAAACAGGA